GAGCUUUGUUGCUUUCAAAUCUUAAGCAAUCUAGAAACACUUCGAAGAGUUUAUCGGAUAUAUAGGAUGUCAUCUAAGUUUUCUACCAUCUGGUUUAAGUGACAAUUUGUUCAUUAAACAGUAGACUAACGGGACAUCAUUUGAACUUACUGGCUGGUUUCAUUAAUUGUAAAAAUACACAUGACUGGUAUAAAAUGAAUACAAAAUAUUCAAAGAGGAUGAUGAAAUUAGCUCUUUGUAAAUAAGGGUAAAUUGGAAAUGCGUCUACAACAAAUCAAUAAAAAUAGCCAGCAAUUUCUUAAGGGCUGUUUCUUGAUAAGUGGCAUUCUGAUUUUAUUCUCCUCAAACUACCCCCAUUUUAAACUGAAAUAGUAAGUAUUUUAAAUGCUAAUGAGAUAAUUUGAAGUAUUUUAUGCAGAUAUUGGAUGAAAGGCUUAAAAAGAAGAGAGUGUUUUAUUUUCACUGUAUUAUUUUCACUUUCUUUUGAGAAAGCUAAUAGUAUGACGUGGGGGCACUCUUCCCUACCUGAAAUUCCAGCAUUAGUGGUUCAUUCCUAUGGUUUAGCCAACCUCUUUCCAGCUUUCCUUACUCAACACUCAAAGCCCCCCUAGAAACGCUAACUUAUUAAAAUAUAUACAUUAUAUUAAUAAUUCAGUUAAAUCAGCUAUAGGAUAAUCAAGGAAUAAGUUAUAGUAACUUUGGUAAGAAAGAGUAGGCAGUGGAGAUCAGUUUAGUCCAAAUAAUUACUGAGUACCUUCCAGACUCUCUACAGGGUGCUGAACCCUAGAGAUUCAAAAAUGAAUAAGCCAUGGCCCAUACCCUCAAGCUCAUCACAGAAAGUGUUCAAGGAGGGAAAAUGGCGCUGAUGCUAAAAGAAAAGGUGAAAGAAAUUGGAGAGGGCAGACUGCACUUACUUCACAAUUUCAUUUAACUAGCAUCGGUCCUACUCAACAGCUAUGCCAAAAAGAAUAUUAUUCGCUCUUAUAAUACUGAUACUGCUUCAGUUCUUACUAAAAACUAAAGAAUGUUUUUUUAAUUUAAAUAACAACUUUGAAAUCUGAAGUGGUACACUUUUUUUUUUAAUCCACUUAUUGAAAGGUUAAACAACAUAAGGCAUCCUAUCUUUAGUGGCUUUAAUAUAUUUGAUAGAAUAGCCCCCAAAUAUCAAAAGGUAAUUUUUGCCACCUUUGAAAGCCUUGGCAACUGAUUAAGAAUAAAUUUAAAGUUGUUCUCAAAAUACUUACUUAAAAAAAAAACCACACAGACUAAUUGAUCUAUAAGAAUACAUCCAAAAUAAGACUUAAGAACAACAAUGUCAUAGCAGACCCUUUCUUUUUCUAUUAGUAGUACACUAAGCAUCAUUCUGUCAUGCUCCGUUAUACUUGCAAGCAAAUGGCCAUCAAAUGAAAAAUAAAUUUUAGAAUAUCUUAUGAAAGGUCUGAGAUCAUUAACUCAAAGUAUGUGACAGAGCAACUAAGUUAAAUAAAUAAAUUUUCAUUUCAUUAUUAGAAAUGAGGUACAUUUUUAUGAUUAAUUUCUUUGCACAACUGAAUUGAUGUGAGAAAGGUAUCUUUAGAAAGGUUCUUUUAAGGUAGGCAAGCUACGUCAAUUCUCUCCCUAAGUUCAAAAUUCCCUUUAACUGUAAUUUAUUAUUUAAUAAAUGAAAGGAGUACUCUCAAUUUUAUACCAAAUCUAUCAGUUUUAAGCAUCUUAAUCAAGUAGGUCCUUUACAAAAGGGCUGACUGCGCCCCAUGAAGGGUUAAUGGUUUUUGAUUGUUGGCCACAUUCCCAUGGUAAACUUGAACAUUCCUUUCUGAAAACCUUACCCAGUGAGCUCUACCUAUUUACACAACAGCUGGGGGCACACCACCUGCACUACAGCCCAUAAACUUCGUGGUGUGAUACACAGCCGACCUGCUUAUGGAUGAGAUAAGAGCAUACCAAUAUUCAGAGUUAUAAAAAUACAACUGUAAGAAAGUGUUUUGAUGUCCUCUUCACUUUCGUAUGUUUUCCCCACGAGGAACCAGUACAGAAUCUCUUCACUUUUGUAUGUUUUAUCCACGAGGAACAAGUACAGAAUCUUAUGCUAAAAUCUACCGUCUCUCAACCCUUGUUUUCACAAGGUGAGGGGCCAGCUGGAAGGCGG